rnacentral:rRNA from 1 species
GGACCCUACGGGAGGCAGCAGUGAGGAAUAUUGGUCAAUGGCCGCAGGGCUGAACCAGCCAAGUCGCGUGAGGGAAGACGGUCCUAUGGAUUGUAAACCUCUUUUGCCGGGGAGCAAAAAGCGGUACGUGUACCGCAUCGAGAGUACCCGGAGAAAAAGCAUCGGCUAACUCCGUGCCAGCAGCCGCGGUAAUACGGAGGAUGCGAGCGUUAUCCGGAUUUAUUGGGUUUAAAGGGUGCGCAGGCGGCGAGUUAAGUCAGCGGUAAAAUUUCGGGGCUCAACCCCGACGAGCCGUUGAAACUGGC